GAACGCUAGCGACAGGCUAACACAUGCAAGUCGAGGGGUAACAGGGUAGCAAUACCGCUGACGACCGGCGCACGGGUGAGUAACGCGUAUGCAACCUGCCUAUAACUGGGGAAUAGCUCCCUGAAAGGGGAAUUAACACCGCAUAACACUAUUGAUUCGCAUGGAUUAGUAGUUAAAUGUAGCGAUACAGGUUAUAGAUGGGCAUGCGUGACAUUAGCUAGUUGGUGAGGUAACGGCUCACCAAGGCUACGAUGUCUAGGGGUUCUGAGAGGAAGGUCCCCCACACUGGUACUGAGACACGGACCAGACUCCUACGGGAGGCAGCAGUGAGGAAUAUUGGUCAAUGGGCGCAAGCCUGAACCAGCCAUGUCGCGUGCAGGAAGACUGCCCCCUAUGGGUUGUAAACUGCUUUUAUAGUAGAAGAAACACAUCUACGUGUAGAUGUCUGCCAGUAUACUAUGAAUAAGCAUCGGCUAACUCCGUGCCAGCAGCUGC
rnacentral:rRNA from 1 species